CAGUAGUCAUAUGCUGAUCUAACAGAUUAAGCCAUGCAAGUGUAAGUUCAUGCUCUCUAAUGAGCGAGACCGCGAACGGCUCAUUAAAUCGGACAUAACUUACUUGAUAAUCUCUCGGACGGUGGAUAACUGUUGUAAAUCUAGAGCUAAUACAUGCGUACAGCUUCUGAAGCGCAAUUAUUAGAAUCAGUUGACUCUGGAUAAAUUUGCUGAUCACAGGCGUGUGCCUGUGACAUAUCAAUUAGAUGUCCGCCCCAUCAAUUGUUGACGGUAAGGUAGUGGCUUACCGUGGUUGCAACGGGUAACGGGGAAUCAGGGUUCGGUUCCGGAGAGGGAGCAUGAGAAAUGGCUGCCAGAUCUAUGGAUUGCAGCAGGUGCGUAAAUUAUCCACUUUUGGCAUAAAGAGAUAGUGAUCAUAAAUAGCGGAUUCGGGUAUUUGCCUGGAGAUCGCAAUGAAAUAAUCGUAAAAGCUUUAAUGAAUGCAAUUGGAGGGCAAGUCUGGUGCCAGCAGCCGCGGCAAUUCCAGUUCCAAUAGUGUAUACUAAAGUUGCUGCAGUUGAAAAGCUCGUAGUUGGAUCUCGGCUUGCUAGCGUGUGUGAGCGCGCAAGUAGGCCUUUGCUGUAGAGUGCUUAAAGCGCUACGGCUUUACCUUGAACAAAAUAGAGUGCUUAAAGCAAGCAUUCUGCUUGAAUAUCUCAGCAUGGAAUAAUAGAAUACGACUUUUCUGUUGGUUUACCAGCAAAAGUAAUGAUUAACAGAGACAGACGGGGGCAUCCGUAUUGCUCCGUUAGAGGUGAAAUUCGUAGAUCGGUGCAGGACGUACUACAGCGAAAGCAUUUGCCAAGGAUGUUUUCAUUAAUCAAGAACGACAGUUGG
rnacentral:rRNA from 1 species